AACGUAGGGGACAAGCGUUAUCCGGAUUUACUGGGCGUAAAGCGCCCGUAGGCGGCCUGACAAGUUGGACGUGAAAGCUCCUGGCUUAACUGGGAGAGGCCGUUCAAAACUGUCAAGCUAGAGUCUGGAAGAGGAGAGCGGAAUUCCCGGUGUAGUGGUGGAAUGCGUAGAGAUCGGGAGGAACACCAGUGGCGAAGGCAGCUCGCUGGGACGUUACUGACGCUGAGACGCGAAAGCGUGGGGAGCAAACAGG
rnacentral:rRNA from 1 species